rnacentral:other from 1 species
GCUUGCCUGCGGUGUUGGUGAACUUCGAUUUAAUUCGAACCGAACACCUAUUCACAAAGGGAGCUCAAGAUAAAGGGGUCGACAUCAUGCCCGGCUUUUUCCGGGAAGAUGAAGAUCCUUUUGCGAGCACCCACCUGCCUUAUGCGGGUUCGUGAAAAAGUAGAAGGUAACCGCACAUGCGGGCUUCAG